rnacentral:rRNA from 1 species
CGAUUCCUUCGGGAUGACGAUUUGUUGACUGAGUGGCGGACGGGUGAGUAACGCGUGGGUAACCUGCCUUAUACAGGGGGAUAGCAGCUGGAAACGGCUGAUAAUACCGCAUAAGCGCACAGCAUCGCAUGAUGCAGUGUGAAAAACUCCGGUGGUAUAAGAUGGACCCGCGUCUGAUUAGCUAGUUGGUGAGGUAACGGCCCACCAAGGCAACGAUCAGUAGCCGACCUGAGAGGGUGACCGGCCACAUUGGGACUGAGACACGGCCCAGACUCCUACGGGAGGCAGCAGUGGGGAAUAUUGCACAAUGGAGGAAACUCUGAUGCAGCGACGCCGCGUGAGCGAAGAAGUAUUUCGGUAUGUAAAGCUCUAUCAGCAGGGAAGAUAAUGACGGUACCUGACUAAGAAGCUCCGGCUAAAUACGUGCCAGCAGCCGCGGUAAUACGUAUGGAGCAAGCGUUAUCCGGAUUUACUGGGUGUAAAGGGAGUGUAGGUGGCAAAGCAAGUCAGUAGUGAAAAUCCGGGGCUCAACCUCGGAACUGCUAUUGAAACUGUUUAGCUAGAGUGCAGGAGAGGUAAGUGGAAUUCCUAGUGUAGCGGUGAAAUGCGUAGAUAUUAGGAGGAACACCAGUGGCGAAGGCGGCUUACUGGACUGUAACUGACACUGAGGCUCGAAAGCGUGGGGAGCAAACAGG